rnacentral:misc_RNA from 1 species
GAUGAAGAACGUAGCGAAAUGCGAUAAGUAAUGUGAAUUGCAGAAUUCAGUGAAUCAUCGAAUCUUUGAACGCACCUUGCACCCUUUGGCAUUCCGAAGGGUAUGCUCGUUUGAGUGUCAUUGUACUCUCACACUUCUGAUCCUUUGGAUUGGGAGCGGUGGACUUGGGUGUUGCUGCUUUACUGUGGCUCACCUCAAAUGCAUUCGUGCAACUCUUGGUUGGACAUAGUACGGCGUGAUAAGUAUCUUCGCCGGCACCUCGCAAGAGGGUGGCUGAUCAGGAGCUCUGUGCUUUCCAACUGUCUUCAGACAACAACUGACAACUUGACCUCAAAGCGAGUAGGACCACCCGCUGAACUUAAGCAUAUCAAUAAGCGGAGGA